CCUACGGGUGGCAGCAGUAAGGAAUAUUGGUCAAUGGACGAAAGUCUGAACCAGCCAUCCCGCGUGCAGGAUGAAAGCCCUAUGGGUUGUAAACUGCUUUUAGCAGAGAAGAAAAGCUUUCAUUAAUGAGAGUCUGACGGUAUCUGCAGAAUAAGCACCGGCUAACUCCGUGCCAGCAGCCGCGGUCAUACGGAGGGUGCGGGCGUUAUCCGGAAUUACUGGGUUUAAGGCGUAGGUAGGCGGAAUUUUAGAAAUCUUGUCGCUUAACGAUAAAAUGGCCAAUGAGACUGGUACUAUUGAAUUGGGUGGAGGGUAGCGGAAUGUGACAUGUAGCGGUGAAAUGCAUAGAUAUGGCAUGGAACACCAAUUGCGAAGGCAGCUAACUGGGCCUUGAUUGACGCUGAGGCACGAAAGCGUGGGUAGCGAACAGGAUUAGAUACCCCGGUAGUC
rnacentral:rRNA from 1 species